UACGUAGGGGGCAAGCGUUGUCCGGAAUGAUCGGGCGUAAAGGGCGCGUAGGCGGCCCGGUAAGUCUUAAGUGAAAGUCCUGGUUUUAAGCUGGGAAUUGCUUUGGAUACUGUCGGGCUUGAGUGAAGGAGAGGUAAGUGGAAUUCCCAGUGUAGCGGUGAAGUGCGUAGAGAUUGGGAGGAACACCAGUGGCGAAGGCGACUUACUGGACUGUAACUGACGCUGAGGCGCGAAAGUGUGGGGAGCAAAC
rnacentral:rRNA from 1 species